AGUUUUUUUCCCCCUCUUCAAAAUUUUAGGCCCAUCCAAAAUACUUGAGUUGUAUUGCAAUCAGCUGUUUUUUCCUAGCUGCCAAGACUGUUGAGGAAGAUGAGAGAAUUCCAGUACUGAAAGUAUUGGCAAGAGACAGUUUCUGUGGAUGUUCCUCAUCUGAAAUUCUGAGAAUGGAGAGAAUUAUUCUGGAUAAGUUGAAUUGGGAUCUUCACACAGCCACACCAUUGGAUUUUCUUCACAUUUUCCAUGCCAUUGCAGUGUCAACUAGGCCUCAGUUACUUUU